GUGAAGAGGGUGCAGCUUGCAGACAAGUACCUCAGUGAGGCUGCACUGGGUGAAGCCAACGACGACGCCAUGAAGACCGGGUCCUUCUACGCCAAGGCCACUUGAUUCUAGUAAUUAAGAAUGCCGUCACUAUAUAUGCAUGUUUGGAAAAUUCCGUACCUUUUUUGAUUCAUCGCCGCACAGGUAAACGAUUUGAAUUGUAAGUUUCUGAAUACAAAGAAAUGGAAUUGUAUAUGUGAAUUACUUGUUGGAACAUUAUCAUAUAUCUGGAAAUCCUCUGAGGCUUUCUUGAUUAGGUACCGUGGGGGUCAUAUAAUUGGACAGAGAUUGUGAUGCAAACGGCUGGAUUAUUGUUUCAAGAAGAAAGAUCAAUGGUCUAUACUAAACCCAAAAAUCAAUUAAUGAGACUUCCAGGGAAAUUGAUCUUGGCAGCUCAUACAUCAAAGCAUUGCAGAAAUGACAUGCUUAGCUGUUUUUUCUCAAAAAAGUACAGACAUGGCUACCUUAAUUUUAUCUUUUCCAUACUGAUGUUUUACCAAAGAUGCAAUGUAUGGAUGUCAUGCAAGUUCUUUUAUUUUUGCGGUAAUAAUGCGAAGUAUGAAGCACAAACGUACAACACCCAUGUGCCUUGAUGUCAACAGGGGCCGACUUAACUUGUGUGGUACCAAUUGACAGCCCUAGCUUGAUGGUUAUCAACAAACCAGCAAAUAUAAGCCAGCAACAUAUUUUGUGGUACUCGAACUAGGAUCCAAUCUCGGGUGCCUCAUCCAACAAGCAACAUAAGAGUUCAUUUUUGUGUGGUUAUGGAAUAGAAGACCCCAGCUUUCGGCUAGCUGAUGAUCAACAAGACACACUAUCUAUACACCGUGAGUCCGGGUGAAAAGAAACAAAAAUGAAAGGCAAGGAAAGAAGAAAGGAUUCUGAUCAGAGAAUGGCUAGAUCCUGUGGCUGUGGAAUGUUAUAGGAUUCGAGCCAGGAGAUAUCAUAUAGCUGAGCUGCAAGCUGCAGCGUUUGGUCUUCACAGUCCAAGUCAUCCAAACCAGCGGGGGCCAAGAUGCACCCGGCCAGAACCCAAUCUCCAGUGUGUGGCCUGUGGGGGAUCAAGAAGCUGAUCCACAAGCACGGGUGUGUGUGUGCCACCUCCCAGCAGCCUCCCACAGCAACAAGAUGGAUAUCCACGUGUAUUUAAGGCAUCUCAUACCUCUGCCUCUAUACUUUGAGCAGCAGCAGCCAUUACUUGAUCAUCUGAAAAAUCUUAAUCCAGAUCAGACCAAGCAGAGCAGAGAUGUCUGCUACCUUCUCGUCCACCGUCGGAGCUCCGGUGCGUACCACACAUCGAUUCAUCGGUCCACAGCUAUCUUUUCUUAAUGGUAUCAUGUCUUCAAUGGCGUCUUGUGUUGUGUCUACAGGCUUCUACGCCAACCAGCUUCCUUGGGAAGAAGCUCAAGAAGCAGGUGACCUCGGCCGUGAACUACCAUGGCAAGAGCACCAAGGCCAACAGAUUCACAGUCAUGGCCAAGGAGGUGGACGAGUCAAAGCAGACUGACCAGGACAGGUGGAAGGGCCUCGCCUACGAUAUCUCCGACGACCAGCAGGACAUCACCAGGGGGAAGGGUAUCGUCGACUCGCUCUUCCAGGCGCCCAUGGGCGACGGUACCCACGUGGCCGUCCUCAGCUCCCAAGAGUACAUCAGCCAGGGCCUAAGGAAGUACGACUUCGACAACACCAUGGGAGGCUUCUACAUCGCCCCAGCCUUCAUGGACAAGCUCGUCGUCCACCUCUCCAAGAACUUCAUGACCCUGCCCAACAUCAAGGUACGCAGCCAGCACAUGAUCAAUUCAUGACUAUUUAAUUUAAUUUAUUAGCAGUAAUACAAUUGAACAAAGCUGUUUGUGAAGCUUUACUGUAAUUUGGGUGCUAACGAAUCGAAAAUUCAGGUGCCACUCAUCUUGGGUAUCUGGGGAGGCAAGGGUCAAGGAAAAUCCUUCCAAUGUGAGCUUGUCUUCGCCAAGAUGGGCAUCAAGUAAGAACUGUUUGAAGUUACUUUCAUCUAUUGUUAAUUGCCAGCAACACAAAUAUCAUGUCUGCACCCGAAUUAAGCAAGUAGUAACAGAUGAUGAUGUGUGCUUGCUACAGCCCAAUCAUGAUGAGUGCCGGAGAGCUGGAGAGCGGAAACGCCGGAGAGCCAGCCAAGCUGAUCAGGCAGCGGUACCGUGAGGCCGCAGACUUGAUCAAGAAGGGUAAGAUGUGCUGCCUCUUCAUCAACGAUCUCGACGCUGGUGCGGGUCGGAUGGGCGGGACCACCCAGUACACUGUCAACAACCAGAUGGUUAACGCCACCCUGAUGAACAUCGCGGAUGCCCCCACCAACGUGCAGCUCCCUGGGAUGUACAACAAGGAGGAAAACCCCCGUGUGCCCAUCAUCGUCACUGGUAACGAUUUCUCCACGCUCUACGCGCCACUCAUCCGUGACGGUCGUAUGGAGAAGUUCUACUGGGCCCCCACCCGCGAAGACCGUAUCGGUGUAUGCAGGGGUAUCUUCCAAACUGACAACAUCAGCGACGAGUCCGUCAUCAAGAUCGUAGACACCUUCCCAGGCCAAUCCAUCGGUACGUUCCCUGCACUCCACCGAUAAUAGUAUGCAUACAUCAAUGCAAGAGUAGUAAUUAACAAAGGAAAUGCUGAUCCCAAAACAGACUUUUUCGGAGCGCUGCGUGCCCGGGUGUACGACGAUGAGGUGCGCAAGUGGGUCAGCUCAACCGGAAUAGAGAACAUCGGCAAGAAGCUGGUGAACUCGAAGGAUGGACCGGUGUCCUUUGAGCAGCCAAAGAUGACAAUCGAGAAGCUCCUGGAGUACGGCCACAUGCUCGUCCAAGAGCAGGACAAUGUCAAGCGUGUGCAGCUUGCUGACAAGUACAUGAGCGAGGCUGCUCUGGGAGAUGCUAACUCAGAUGCCAUGAAGACUGGUUCCUUCUACGGUUAGAACACUCUUCAUACACACACCAUCUCUAGCUGCAUAGGAGGAGGUGAACUACAAUCUUUUUUUUUCUAUUUUCAGUAUCUACUUUACAUAUACUUCAAACUUGUGUACUUCCAAAAUAAAAGGGAGUGAAUUAUAAGCGACAGCGAGAAAUUAUUCUUACCUGUUCUUCUGGCACAUCAAGCUGAUCUUCUCAUUGCAUUGUGCAAAACAACUAAAUUUCAGGUAAAGGAGCACAACAAGGUAAUUUGCCCGUCCCAGAAGGUUGCACUGACCGGAAUGCCGAGAACUACGACCCAACAGCAAGGAGUGACGACGGCAGCUGCCUUUACACCUUUUAAGCAUGCCACUUUAAUUAUUCUGAUGUUUCACUCUUUGUACCUAAGUACCGCAUUGCAUCCAAGCAAUUGCUGGGCAUGAAAAGUUUUUGUUCAUAUAUAAAGAUAUUGAGUAUAUUCAUUUGGUGAACAGUAAUAUAUAUAACUACUUAUCCUUGCAGUAUUCAUUUCUUAAAUAAUUCUUAGUCUGACUCUGAUAAGUGAGGAAAGCUCCUGCUUGUUGGAAACAAAAUAGAAGUAACAAUUUGAGGUUCAGCUUGUUUAGGGUCGAGAGUUAGUGUCGCUGCUGUGCGAAUGCCAGCCCAGGAUUGAUCUCCCGUGGUCACAUCUCCGGGUGCCUCGUCUUUCUUAACUCGAUGAAGUGGCUUAAGGAGAUAGCAGAGAAAACAGAUAGUGGGGGGCGUCUGUAUAGGCAUAUACGAUUAAAGAGUGUACAGGGGCUUCUCCCCCUUAUAUCAUUCAGCUUCCGCUUGUUGUUGGACAAACAAAUGAAAGGAAAAUGGGGAGUCAAUUGCAAACAUAAAAUAGAUGCACUAUGUUAAUAUCAAACCUGCUGAUCCAACAUCCGAACUGAAAGACAAAUGAAAAGAAGCAGCUGGUUUUACCAAUGGCUCUGAAAAGCUACAUAUCCUCAAUACCUAUCUAGAUCAUGGGUGGUUCCGUAAGACCAAGAAGUGCGUGUGGCCAAGGUUGUCCACCAAUCGGUAUUUUGUGCCCUAUUGUUCAAAGCGGUCAUGGAAAGUUGCAUAUUUCAACAUCUUUGUCAAGCUGUGUAAUAGAAAAUCUAUGUGUUUGUGGUUGUGAACUGGGCAAGAUUGUUUACUAGCGCAACUGGGAAUACCAAUUCUUGUAAUUUUGAAGUCGCAUUCAGUAAAAUGUGAUGUUCGAAUUGUGAACUAAUCAAUGAGGAGAAGCAUAGGAAACUAGUAUAAAGCAAGUGUAUGCAGCUUUAAUCAUUUUGUGGACACAUGCAUAAUUUUUUUAAUGUUAUCUGUAUGUAAUAAAAGUGAGGU
rnacentral:lncRNA from 1 species